rnacentral:rRNA from 1 species
GGAUUAGCGGCGGACGGGUGAGUAACACGUGAGUAACCUGCCUUUGACACAGGGAUAGCCUCGGGAAACCGGGAUUAAUACCAGAUAACAUUAUCAGAUCGCAUGAGAAGAUAAUCAAAGCUGAGGCGGUCAAAGAUGGACUCGCGUCCCAUUAGCUAGUUGGUAGAGUAAUAGCCUACCAAGGCAACGAUGGGUAGCCGGCCUGAGAGGGUGAACGGCCACAUUGGAACUGAGAAACGGUCCAAACUCC